rnacentral:rRNA from 1 species
UGCGCAGGCGGAACUUUAAGUCAGUGGUGAAAUCUUGCCGCUUAACGGUAAAAUUGCCAUUGAUACUGAAGUUCUUGAAUAUGGUUGAGGUAGGCGGAAUGUGUUGUGUAGCGGUGAAAUGCAUAGAUAUGACACAGAACGCCGAUUGCGAAGGCAGCUUACUAAGCCAUUAUUGACGCUGAGGUACGAAAGCGUGGGGAGCGAACAGGAUUAGAUACCCUGGUAGUCC